rnacentral:rRNA from 1 species
AUUGAACGCUGGCGGCAUGCCUUACACAUGCAAGUCGAACGGCAGCACGGACUUCGGUCUGGUGGCGAGUGGCGAACGGGUGAGUAAUGUAUCGGAACGUACCUUUCAGUGGGGGAUAACGUAGCGAAGGUUACGCUAAUACCGCAUAUUCUGUGAGCAGGAAAGCAGGGGAUCGAAAGACCUUGCGCUGAUUGAGCGGCCGAUAUCAGAUUAGCUAGUUGGUGGGGUAAAGGCCUACCAAGGCGACGAUCUGUAGCGGGUCUGAGAGGAUGAUCCGCCACACUGGAACUGAGACACGGUCCAGACUCCUACGGGAGGCAGCAGUGGGGAAUUUUGGACAAUGGGGGCAACCCUGAUCCAGCCAUGCCGCGUGAGUGAAGAAGGCCUUCGGGUUGUAAAGCUCUUUCGGCCGGGAAGAAAUCGCAUAGGCUAAUACCCUGUGUGGAUGACGGUACCGGAAUAAGAAGCACCGGCUAACUACGUG